ensembl:snRNA U2 U2 spliceosomal RNA
AUCGCUUCUCGGCCUUUUGGCUAAGAUCAAGUGUAGUAUCUGUUCUUAUCAGUUUAAUAUCUGAUACGUCCCCUACCCGGGGACCAUAUAUUAAAUAGAUUUUUGGAACAGGGAGUAAAAUCUAA